GACGAACGCUGGCGGCGUGCCUAAUACAUGCAAGUUGAGCGCUGAAGGUUGGUACUUGUACCAACUGGAUGAGCAGCGAACGGGUGAGUAACGCGUGGGGAAUCUGCCUUUGAGCGGGGGACAACAUUUGGAAACGAAUGCUAAUACCGCAUAAAAACUUUAAACACAAGUUUUAAGUUUGAAAGAUGCAAUUGCAUCACUCAAAGAUGAUCCCGCGUUGUAUUAGCUAGUUGGUGAGGUAAAGGCUCACCAAGGCGAUGAUCCAUAGCCGACCUGAGAGGGUGAUCGGCCACAUUGGGACUGAGACACGGCCCAAACUCCUACGGGAGGCAGCAGUAGGGAAUCUUCGGCAAUGGACGAAAGUCUGACCGAGCAACGCCGCGUGAGUGAAGAAGGUUUUCGGAUCGUAAAACUCUGUUGGUAGAGAAGAACGUUGGUGAGAGUGGAAAGCUCAUCAAGUGACGGUAACUACCCAGAAAGGGACGGCUAACUACGUG
rnacentral:rRNA from 1 species